AGUCUCCACCGUCAACAAAAUCCAGCUCUUAGUGUCUUUCAGCAUUCACCCUGAGACCAUUCCAAGACUCACCAACUCAGGUGCCAGCUUUCGUGUCUGCAGAGUGAUCGGUUAUGGAGUGCCACCAUCAUUCUUCAUGGGGAAGCUUCUGGCGUCCAAGUUAAUAUUCUGUUUCCCUACAAACUGUAUAUCCUAGAGAUAUAGAUGACAGGCUUGAAUGAAAAUAGGUCAACAGUACUUAAGAUAAGUAAUACUUUAAUCAAUUUUAAGAUAAUUUCUGAUGGCUAGUGCAUAAUGGUAAUAUACUACUCCUUAAAUUUCCCUUUAAAGCAGUGUAGACAUUUAAAAACCCUAUUGUAUAAAUUGCUUUUGAAAGACACAAUUACCCAUUUUAUCUCCCCUGAAUAGAUACAUCUAUUAAAAUAGGCCAUAGUAGAGUUUUUAUAUUUACUAUAAUCAUUGUUGCUCUGCAGAGGCCUUGUGAAUUCAUGCAUCCUGGGGAAUUUAUAGGUGACUUAGAUGGUCUUCAUGGAUCUCGUGCUACAGAAGUAGACUGGUUUCACGACUGACAGUUCUGAAAUUGCCAAUUCACUUCUGCCCAGCAAAUAGUCUAUUUAAAUUCACCAACUUUCCAACCAACACCAACUUUCCUUAAGUUCACAUUGUACCAUCCCAAAAGGAGGAAGAGGCAUGAAACCAAAAAGAAUGUAGUGCUCAGCACAGAAGAAAGGCCACAACCAGGCAUCAGAUGAAGGGAAAAGCUGAAGGCGCCGAGCCCGCUCUCCGCACACACAGAGAUAAUUGGCAUGGCAGUAAUUUUGGACAGCUGAAUGAAAUGAAUAAAUUGUGGCAUGGGAAAACUGAAAAGGACAACAGUUUCCUGGCUCACACGGGAUCAUUACCUUAGGCUGGCAUUUUUCUUGAAGACCAAUUGAUAA